rnacentral:rRNA from 1 species
AUUGAACGCUGGCGGCAGGCCUAACACAUGCAAGUCGAACGAGUGGCGGACGGGUGAGUAAUGGAUGGGCAACUGCGUGAUGGAGGGGGAUAACUAGUGGAAACGGUAGCUACAACCGCAUACCACCGGUUGUGGCCACAUGGGAGUAGCUAGUAGGUGGGGUAAAGGCUCACCUAGGCGACGAUCCCUAGCUGGUCUGAGAGGAUGACCAGCCACACUGGAACUGAGACACGGUCCAGACUCCUACGGGAGGCAGCAGUGGGGAAUAUUGGACAAUGGACGCAAGCCUGAUGCAGCCAUGCCGCGUGUGUGAAGAAGGCCUUCGGAUUGUAAAGUACUUUCGGCGGGGAGGCGUUACCCACCGAGGAAGCCCCGGCUAACUCCGUGCCAGCAGCCGCGGUAAUUC